AUAAAUAUAGCUUAACAAAAGCUAAGACUUGUGGAGUCUUCCAUACAAAAUCAAAUUUGUUAUUUAUA
rnacentral:tRNA from 1 species